GUGUGAUAUAUUAUUGGUAGUAUAUGCGGAGAUUUUUCGAAUUUCAUGAUCGGGAGAGUGGGGUUCCAUCAAGCUGCUUCAGUCGAUAGAUUUCUGGUUUGAUGACUUCAUCUACUUGGUAUAAGCCCUCCCAGUUUGGGGCUAGCUUGCCUCUCUUCUUCAGUUGAGAAACUUCUACCUUGCAUCGGACUAGGUCACCGAUCCUGAAAAUCUUAUUCUGAACCCUGGAGUUAUAGUAUCGGACAAUUUUGUGCUGGUAGGCUGACAUUCAGACAUGCACUUUUUCUUCAGCUUCUUCGAGUAGGUCUAAGUCAGUGCACAGCCUCUUCGAGUUGGUCUGCUCAUCAUAGUUCUCAACUCAUGCCGACGGGACCCCAAUCUCAACUGGGAUUACUACUUCUGUCCC
rnacentral:lncRNA from 1 species